AUCCUCGCCUCUGGAGGGGCAGGCAGAGGCCAGCCCUGCCCUGGCACCCAGCCUGGGCUCCAGCAAAUCCACGGAGAUUUUCAGCAGCCUCCUCCCAGCUCUCUGAGACCCACUGGGACCUUCUCUGCAUUUAGGGAGGAGGGGAUGGCACAAUUCCUGCGUCCUGCUGGGCAGUGCUGCUCACGUGGAGCUGGAGCUGCUCCGCACUGAGAUGAUUUCCUGAGCCGGAGCCUCCCCUGGGAGCUGGAGUGGAUCCAGGAGAGGGUUAUUCCGGUACCACAUUCAAGAACCAUGAGUUGGGUAUUUCUGGUGCUGCCUUUCACUGACCUGAGGAUGGAACAAAGAUUAGGAAUUUUCAUCAAAAUUCACGUUC